rnacentral:rRNA from 2 species
UGCGAGACCGAUAGCGAACAAGUACCGUGAGGGAAAGAUGAAAAGAACUUUGAAAAGAGAGUUAAAGAGUACCUGAAACUGCUGAAAGGGAACCGAAUCGUAUCCAGUGUCUAUAAUCCAUGGCAUAUUUCAUUGGCGAGUGAGUGCGUGCAGCGUUUUGGAAGUGGUUUUCCGCUCCUGUCGUUGUUGUGCAUUUGCUUGCUGGUGCCCUGUGCUGUGGUGGGACGUCAGAGUCAGUUUGUAUGUUGCGGGAAAUGGUUAUUGGGGAGGUAGGUCACUUCGGUGGCUGUUAUAUCCUGGUAACUAGUCGUCGUGGCUGAGACUGAGGUGCCUACAAUGUGCUUUCGAGUGUGCGGGAUUCUCGUGUGGCUGUUUGCUUUGAUAGCUUGCUAUGUUGGUGAAUAAGUCGUGCGAUUGAGACUUGUAUUAACUUGUUGCUGUUCGGGACUUUGAA